AUUGAAAAUCGUAAAAUUAUAUGAAGUUGAGCUGUUAUACUAAAUUUUUUUGCCAUGGUGGUUAGAGUUUUAACAACCCUUAAGUGCAGAUGAGUUAGUGGCUAAAUGUAAAUGUUAAUCAGAAUCAUGGUGCUUUUGAUAGGAAAUGUUAAUUCAGUUCCAUUUAUCUGCAGCUUCUCACGCUUGUCUUCUAUUUUCUAUCUCCCUUUCUCCCCGCCAACAUGCUCGCAUGCAUGACAGCUCAUGUGCACACACACGUGCACGCACACAAACAUACAUGUGCACACAGUACACCAACACAUACACACGUGCACGCACCCACGUGUGCACACACAGGCACAUGCAUGCACACUCUUGUCUGUCACCUCUCUUCCAGCUUUCUAUGGCGAAGUCUUCAGAAAAAGGGAAAGAGCAAACAGCAUCCAAGGCUGAUAGCCUGACACUGACGGACUUCUAGCAGCAGAGUGAGCACCGAGCAAGUCCCAACAGCCACGGGAAGAGGAAGGAGCCGAGCUCUCGUGGUGACCCAGGGGGCGAACGCAGACAGCAGGGCCAGUAUUCGUUACCUCUUCGGUGCCCUUCCUGCCGGCAGGGUCUACGGCAAAUGCUCAGUAGUGCUGAAUUGUAGGAGGCUCGCACUAAGCCUGCGAGGGAGGGGCUGGUUUCACCCCACUUUGCAGGAAAGAAAGAGGCCCUGAAGGUGAAGUGACCUCUCCGUGGACAAACUGGACCUCUCCAGCUGGUAAAACUGCACGCUGUGGAUGAGUCACCAUCCUCCAGAGAUAGAGCCUGAAAGAAACCUCCGCCUGCCUCCAGGGUCCACCCGCAAGCCUUCGCCAGCCUUCUCUUCUGGAGCCUCCUGAUGAGCUUGGCACACCCUCCCCAAACAUUAACCUCUGGUAACCUGCUGGUGUCUGCUUUUAUGGUCAUUCUCCAAGCAUCUUGAUUCUUCUGUCGGCAGAACUCAGCACAGAGUAGAGCUCACUCUGCACUCGUGGGAUGAACCCACACGUGAGCGGGUGAGUAAAUACGACUUCAGUUUUCUACAUUUGUGUCUCUUUGGCCUUUGGGGUGGGCCGUACCUCACUAAAGGGCACAACACUAAGGUUAUGAUAAGCCCCAAACUGCUUUUGGCCUCAAAAACAGCCUGAAGCUGAAGUGACAUUUCACACAAAUGUGAGUCGCGCUUGAUGUUGAAGUGUUUGCUGAGAAACUACUUGAAAAAGGCCACUUUUGGAAGAAACUACUUCGAAGGCGACUUCACAGUCCACUGAGCUGAGAAAAUGUGCCCAGGGAGCCAGGACCCACACAUCAAAGGGAUUCGGAAGGACAAUUUGCAAGGAGAGCCACACGUCCGGAUCACCUUGGGGAAAGCGGUCUUUGUCACUGAUCCAAAUCAAGGGCAGGAGGGUACAAGGACAUCAGAUUUGUUUGAAGAGAACAGCAUCCUGUUAGCCUUGGAAAAGAAUGACAUGAAGCCACCAAAACACCACUUCCUCCCCUCCCCCAGGCCCGCUCGUCACCCGGUGAGACUCCGUACAUCAAAGACUCUCUGAGCCCUGUGUCUGCCUUGUGUGUCACCCUAGUUAACGAUUUGAAGGCAAAUGCUCAGAACACUGACGUGAGGGGGUAGAAAGAGCUCCCUGCCCCUCCCGUGUGGUUCUACCGUGUCCCCCUUCUCUGGGGCUCACUCCUCCAGGCCUUGGCAAUUUUUCUAGGUCCCAAGAGGCGGUGGACCCAAGCUCAUGGGUUAACUCCACCAACCCCUGUAGGAGCCUGGGUAAAUGACUUGAGUUUUUUGCCCCAUCUGUAGGAUUCGACUGUUACUUUGGCCUGUGUUACACCCCCGCCCCCACCCCCCACAUGGCUACAGAGAGGUCCGGGGAAGUGAUCUGUCAUAGACUCCACGGAGCUGCAAGCUGCUGUUCUUAGCUUUGUCAAUGCCAUUACUAGUGUCUGGGUCCCCUCUUAUUUGACACGAGAAACCUAAGGCCUGGAGAUGUGAAGUGACUCGAUGAGGUCCCUGCCAGGGCCUUACACGGGGGUCUGGGAGUGGGUCCCGUGCCUCCUCUGUUAACAAAUGCAUUCCACUCCCGGUGCCCUUUCUUGUCAACUCUUACUUAUCAGCCUCACAGCAGGUGAAGUCAUCAAAUAACAGAAAGCCACUGCCCAUUUUGCUAUGAAUUUCUAUCCAGGGAAUGCGGACACACCCAUACACCCCCCGACCUACACCUCGCGUCAUUCGGUUUUAGGAUUAGUAGAAAUACAUACGCUCUUUUUUUUUUUUUUUUAAUUUAUUUGAGAGAGAGAGAGAGAGAUUGUGAGUGGGGGAGAGGGACAGAGGAGAGAGACAGAAUCUCAAGCAGACUCCAUGUUCAGCAUGAACCUGAUGCGGGGCUCUGUCCCACAACCUGGGAUCAUGACCUGAGCCAAAAUCAAGAGUCGGAUGCUCAACCUACUGAGCCACCCAGGUGCCCCCAAAUACAUACUCCUUAACGAGCCACAUGAACGUGGGGGAGGGGGGCAUGCUCUCGCUCUCCUGGUUUGAUAUGCUAUAAAAUUGGAUUUUGCAAAUUCUAUUCCUUCUGUACAUUGCGCCCUCAGGACCAUAGCUCUCUGGAUAACCUGGCCUUACACAGACCUCAGCCACCCACCCCCCAAGAUGGUCAGUGUCCAUCCACUUCUAGCCCUUUCCCCGGGGAAGCGUAUCAUUCCCGUGCUCUACCUUCCAAAGCAUCUCCUUGGGACCAGUGGUGCCCACAUCAGCACUUGCUGUGUUCACUUGCACACUGAGUGGUUUUACAAGCGGGACAAUGAACCAGACAUAGAGCUGAUGACUGCAGUAUACUCCAGUGAGUGCCCGGAGGGGCAGCAAAGCCUUUCAAUGGGGGGCAAAGCCUGGGAACAUCCUGUCUCCCGCCAGCGCCACCCUGAGUGUUCCACUGUCCCUUUGGCCCAGUGACAGAGUUGGUCCUCAGUAAAUGUUUAUUGAGUGAAUGCAUUCCUGAGUCAUCCCUGCCUUGCCAGGUUUGCUCAUUCAUUCACUCAUCCACUCAUUCAAUCAGUGUUUCAGUCACCUUCCGUUGUGUGCCAAUUAUGUGCUAGGCGCUAUACUAAGUACUGAAAGCACAGAGAUGCAUUAGAUUCACACUCUGCCUCAAAGAACCUCAUUCCAACAGGGGAGACAGAAAUAUGCAUGAUCACUUUGCAAUGAAAUGAGUGCAACUGUGGAGGUGUGACAAGGCGUCCAGGAGAGCAGGCCUGGUGGAUGGGAGGGACAAGGUAUAUAAGGGGUAGAGGAGGGAUCAGGAAAGACCCCCUGGGUGGGGAGGCCAGCAAGUCCCCCUGAGGUACGAGGGUUGGAGAGCAGUGUCGGCAACAGUUUGCCCUGAAGGUCCACGGCCAGCAGUCUUUUCAGAACAGACGAUGUCACCUCUCAGCACAGCUUUCCACCAGAGCUUCUUGCUCGGGCCUCUGGGGUGACACUUGGACCAAGGGGAAGAACACCUGGCUCCUGAGUCUGAUUGCUUGACCCCCUUCCCUUUUCUUUCCUUUGCCAGCAACUUCUAGGUGGGCUCAAGAAAGUCGGAGUGCAGUCUCCACUUUUGUCCCCCAGAGUCCACGGUCCAGUUAGGAACGCUGCUCCCCUGUUCACUACCCAGUGAACUUCAUCACCUCCCAUCCUUCCUAGGACAGAGUGCUCCUUGAGUGCAGAUUUCGAAUACAACCCUCAGAUAGGACAGUUUUCAAGGAACUUCAAAAUGCAGAUGGCCUCCUGGGUAGGCCUCAGGUUCCAGAUCAACCAGAAGUCAUUUAGAAACACUGUGAACUCUGUGACUAGCACCCACAGCCAGUACCUACCUUGUAUCUGAACAAGUGUCCAUUUCUUUACGUUCCUUUUGGUUGAAAGAAAAGUCUGGGAUGGGCGGACUUAGGGCGAGGUCCUUCCAAAGCUAGGUUCUUGCUGACAAGCUCACAGAAGCACCACGUCAAAUGGGACUUGGAUUUAAUACUUGGUUCAAACUACUGAUUUUAUCGAUAAGGAAACUGAGGUCAGGGGAAGUUCCAAGUAGCUCUGAACUAAAGCAACUCGUGGGUGGCAGAAGUGGAGCCCAGCGUCUUGCCACCCAGGCCCUGCGCCUCCCACCACACUUUAUCAUCGGCAUCAGAGCAGUAACUUCAAUUAAGAUUGAUCGGGCAUGGCCACCUACGCGACAAGCAUUGUACCAGGUGUCGUGGGAUACGGCACCAGUGGAGAGCGCAGAGCCCUGGUCUUUAAGUAUAUUGUGGUCCAGUCGGGGUCAAAACUCCUGUUUGUUAAACUCACGUUCAAUGGCGAAUGACAUCGUUGUGGAGUAGAGAGGUGUAAGUAGCUACAAACUCCGGACAGUUCUUUUCAAAAAUGAUAUUUGAACCAGGACACGCACAACAUACUGAGAUGGGCGAAGACGUGGUAGACGGCUCCUGAUAUGCUCUGUCUCUGGAACCUACUUGGAAAUCAAGGACUCUCUAAAAGCCCUACUACCACUACAAUUUUGACAGCAUUCUUGCAUUUUAUUCCUAAAUAAAAUAGAAGUUUUGGCUUC